rnacentral:rRNA from 1 species
CCUACGGGAGUCAGCAGUGAGGAAUAUUGGUCAAUGGGCGGAAGCCUGAACCAGCCAAGUAGCGUGCGGGAUGAAGGCCCUACGGGUCGUAAACCGCUUUUGCACGGGGAUAACACCCUCCACUUGUGGAGGUCUGCAGGUACCGUGCGAAUAAGGGCCGGCUAAUUCCGUGCCAGCAGCCGCGGUAAUACGGAGGGCCCGCGCGUUAUCCGGAUUCCUUGGGCUAACAGGGCGGGUAGGCGGGCGUUAAAGUCAGCUGUAAAAUCGCGCGGCUCAACCGCGCCCCGCAGUUGAACCUGGACGCCUUGAGUUCACAACAGGCAGGCGGAAUUCGUGGUGUAGCGGUGAAAUGCAUAGAGAUCACGAAGAACCCCGAUUGCGAAGGCAGCCUGCCGGGGUGCGACUGACGCUGAGGCUCGAAGGUGCGGGUAUCAAACAGGAUUAGAUACCCGGGUAGUC